rnacentral:lncRNA from 1 species
UUUGAAAUGGGGUUUGGACCACUAGGAACUUCAUGAGCACUAGCAUUCAAUAAUUUGUCUCUCCAUAAGUAGGAUGGCGAUUGAUGAGCUUUAGGGUACUCAUGUUUACCUCUUCUACCCAUAAUUGGAGAAUAUUGAACUUUUUUACUAGCAAUUUGAUCUUCUCUCAGUUUCUUCUUGACAGCAUAAUGAUCUACUGAUGAAUGAUAAUUAACUCGUAAAAGAUUCGGUUGUAGUUGUCCGUCUUCUGCCAUAACAGUGAGAAGUAGAAAGAAGAAGAGAGUAAGUAGUGAGGCAAUAUUGUAAGGAGAAAUGAAAGAAGAAGAAGUAGUAGUCAUUUUACAGGAGAGAAGCUAGAAAGCCAUCCUUAACCAUAAACAAGUACAAAAAUACAAGAAGAUCAACUAUUCAACACUAGAUGUCUUCGACGAACAAAGAUAUUGCAUGUGUGGGCUUUAUUGUUGAUAACAAGAGGGGCUAACCAUGUGAAAACCCUAAAAAAAAGAAAGCAGAACUAGCUAGCUUAAACUAGUUUGAAAAAUUAGGGAUGUAACUUUAGGAGAUGUAGUUCAAAGAUAAAACGCAUGGAGAAAGAAAGAGGAAAUAAAAGAGAGAGAAAAAAGAGAAUCUUGAAAGAGAUAAAGUGGGAAAGGGAGUUAUGAAUUAUAUUACUUUAUCAAUGUCUGGUGACCUUGAAAGAUUACAGAAAGAGAGAUGGAAGGAGAGAGAGG